UCCUACGGGAGGCAGCAGUGGGGAAUAUCGCGCAAUGGGCGAAAGCCUGACGCAGCGACGCCGCGUGCGGGAGGAAGCCCUUCGGGGUGUAAACCGCUGUCAGGGGGGACGAAAGCGGGCGGGGCUAAUACCCUCGUCCAGUGACGGUACCCUCAAAGGAAGCACCGGCUAACUCUGUGCCAGCA
rnacentral:rRNA from 1 species